GUAGCUGGGUGCAGGCACAGUUUUGGGGUGAGGAGGUCAGUUCUCCAUCGGCAUGCCCUGAGAUAACCCAGAAGGGAAGUCGUAUCUGCUGCCUGCCAAGCACCUCCACGGAGCCUGGAGGAGCCUUCACGGUUCUGCAAGCAGGAAUUCCGCUGAAAUUACCAUCUGCAGAGUCAGACAAGCCUUUCAGCAGCACAGAGGCUCUCUGUGUGGGCAGAGUCUCCCACAUGUGGCUGGUUGGCACGGCCAGCCAGCUGUGGGUCACCUGUGGGCACCAGGCAGGCAAAGCCACAUACUGAGCAAGGAGAAAAAUCAUAACCCUGUGGAAACUAGGAAACCAUUCACCCGUGGUCACUCUGUACAUGAAUGCAUUGGUCGUAUACUGGGAUUACUGGAGAAAGAAAGGUCAACUGACAUCCACAGAAUGGAUCAUUGUCUCCACCUGAAGAGUCUUCUCUGUGAGUGAAAUCAUGAAAUACAAAUAUUCUAAUAUGCUGUGCCCUUUCCAACAUGCUUAUCCACAUACUUUGUCCUCUGUCACUAAUAUUUCCAUCUUGCUUUUUAAGUUUCUUACCAUCUAUCCAGAUGAGACAAUGAAGAAGAAUAUAGUUUAGAAGAAUAUUCUUUCUUUAUUCCACGAAUAAUUUUGAUUACCCGUGGCUGUCACUCUUCUUGGUGUUGGUGGGAUUAUGGUGAGCAAGACAAGGGAAUCAAAGGUGAACAAUGAUGAGCAAAAGGGAUCUUGUUUUCAAGGAGCUUAUAGUUUAGCAGUGAAUACUCUAAUCAAAUAAUUACACAAGAAUAUAAUUUCAAACUCUUGUGAGUCCUGUGGAGAGAAAGGACAUGGAGUUUUAGAACCAUACAACAGAGCUAGUACAGGAGGUCGGGGACAAUUUUCCUCAAAGUGAUAUUUCAGCAGAGAUAUAAAGCUGUGUUCUGUCUUAAUUAAGCAAAAAAAAAAAAAAAAAAAUGGGGGAAGACAGGAAUAUAUUUCUGGACAGAGAGCCUGUAUAAAUACGCUGAUGUAUUUCAAGUAUCUGAAAGAAGGCCAAUGUACCUGGUGUGCAUGGACUAAGGGGAAGAGAGAUUUGAGAUGAUGCUGGAGAUGUGCUUUGAAGAUUCGGUGAGGAAUUGGGGUCUUCAAACACAGCAAAGGGAAACCUUUGAAGAAGCAAAAGAGAUAUAAUCAAAUUUAAAGAAAUACCUCUGGCUUUAAUAUAGAGAAAAGAUUAAAAGGAGGUAAGAGAGAAAAGGAGGAUCUCAUCAGAGGCUGAAAUAUCACCACCGUUAGUACUAUGGCCCAGUCAUAUUCAGGCUAGGUAGGCUUUGGGGUAUUGGCUUUGGAAGUCAAUUGCCACUUACAACAUUGGAUGUAUGGAAAAACCAGUUCUUCAUUCUACCUUACAACUCAGGUAUAUAGGGAUCUCUGUUUCUGAAAUAGCAGUCACUGCUAUUACUCUGCCUGCAACCCAUUCAUUAUCUACAUGGCUGAGAAGGCUGCACAAACACCCAUGACAUGGGAAUGGCCAUUCCUGAAGUGAUGGCAACAAGGAAAGGACUCCAAAGGCACUGGGAAACCCUGUAGUUCCUGUAUGGAGGUAGCAUGGCUAAGAAU
ensembl:lncRNA